UGGGGGGAUAUUGCACAAUGGGGGAAACCCUGAUGCAGCGACGCCGCGUGGGUGAAGAAGCGCCUCGGCGCGUAAAGCCCUGUCAGCAGGGAAGAAAAUGACGGUACCUGAAGAAGAAGCCCCGGCUAACUACGUGCC
rnacentral:rRNA from 1 species